CGCGUAGGCGGACAGUUUAGUCGGGGGUGAAAUCCCAGGGCUCAACCCUGGAACUGCCUUCGAUACUGGCUGUCUUGAGUUCGGGAGAGGUGAGUGGAAUGCCGAGUGUAGAGGUGAAAUUCGUAGAUAUUCGGCGGAACACCAGUGGCGAAGGCGACUCACUGGCCCGAUACUGACGCUGAUGCGCGAAAGCGUGGGGAGCAAACAGGAUUAGAUACCCUGGUAGUCCACGCUGUAAACGAUGAGUGCUAGUUGUCGGCAUGCAUGCAUGUCGGUGACGCAGCUAACGCAUUAAGCACUCCGCCUGGGGAGUACGGUCGCAAGAUUAAA
rnacentral:rRNA from 1 species